rnacentral:tRNA from 1 species
GUCUUCGUAGUUAAACGGAUAUAACGAACCUCUCCUAAGGGUUAGUUGCAGGUUCGAUUCCUGUCGAAGGCA